rnacentral:lncRNA from 1 species
GACUCCUCUUAAUUAUUUAAAAUGAUCUUGGUUUGAUAUCUAAUAUUGACAGAUCUUGCCUUCCAAAGUAAAGUUAAAGAAUUGAGUCAUUGACUGGAAAUCUCUGCAAAAUUAAAAAUAGACUGGCAUAGAGGAGAGCGUCCAGGAAGAAGCUGGUGUUUUUCUUAACAACAGUUACUUGGAUUCAACCAGGGAAAUGAGGAAAGAGACUGUGGUCAAUAAUGACUGGAAUGUGAUGGAGAGGAAGAGACAGCACACAGUUGAAAUUUUUCCUGAUGAAAGAGAUAGCAUCGAUGGAAAACUUCUAAACCGAUAA